rnacentral:misc_RNA from 1 species
UCCAGUGCAUCUGGAACUUCUAAUAAUGGUUCAUUGGGAUCAAUGGGAAAUAAUUAUAGUACCAGCUUGAAUGCGAGCACGCCCAACAGUAUGAAUUUCCAAGCUAAUGGAAAUAAUAGCUGGGCCUUCAGCAAUCAAAGUUCAUCUGAGCUGUUGAAAUCAAACCAAGGGAUUUCUACAAUGAGUGCUGGUAGUUUGAACAGUGGUCAUAAUCCUCAGAAAUCAAUUGGUUUCAUGAAACAAAAUCAAGGUAUGUCUGCUUUGGGUCCAUAUAAUGAUAAGAAAUCAACAGAUCUUGGAUCAAUAUUUGGUUCCAGCAAAAACGAGCAGCUUGCACCUAAACUUGCUCCGCCACCAUCAACUGCUGUGGGCAGAGGAAGAGGAAUAGGAAGAGGGGCCACUUCUACUUCAAGAUCUACCCAUGCCAAACCACAGUCGGAACAGCCAUCCCUUUUGGACUUGCUGUAAUGGACUGGAUUGCCUCUAUCACGUGAAAGGAGGGCUGAAAAAAGAGAGGUUCAAGUAGCCGUGAGCCAUUCUAUGCAGCGACGCAGUUGGAUUUUAUGUUAAAAACGGUGGAUUCUAAGUUCAUUUGGGGCGAGAGAUUCUCAAUGGCCAUAGUGAAUGGCAUGGUUUGUCGAGUGAUUUUCGUGAGUUUGUAGCUUAUUCUGACGGACCCUUUUGUUUUCUCUCCUUUUGUUUUUUCUUUUUUUUUGGGGCUUUAAAAAAAAAAAAAAGGUAUGUUAUGCUGUUUAGUUGGAACAGUUAGGCUUUUUGAUGUUUGAAAAUAGUUUUUGCUGGAAAUGUAUUUUUCAAAACAAUUCCAGUUCCAGCAACUGGUUUAGAAAU